AAUAUACUUCCUCCGUCCCAAAAUUUUUGUCUUAAAUUUGUCUAAAUACGGAUGUAUCAAGUCACGUUAUAGUAUUAGAUGCAUCCGUAUCUAGACAAAUAUAAGACAAGAAUUUUGGGACGGAGGGAGUAUGUU
rfam:Triticum aestivum genome assembly, contig: Triticum_aestivum_CS42_TGACv1_scaffold_271557_3DS